rfam:Schistosoma rodhaini strain Burundi genome assembly, scaffold: SROB_scaffold0002162
ACAUUUCUGAAUUUGUGACGAGAUUUCGUCAGACACCAACCCAGAAUGUCUGAUGAGACUUCCGAGAUAAGUGAACAG